GGGGAAUGAUUGUAACUCAAUGGUAAAAGAGUGUCUGCUUUGCAUGCAGAAUGUCCAAGGUUCAAUUCUCUCCAUCUCUA